CCUAAUCUAAGGUGGCAGCACAUCGCAUCUUUCCUAAGCAUGGACUAUCUUAUAUUUACUUAGUGAUCAUGAAGAACAGUUGUAUAAACAUCAUAUUUAAAAUCACAGAAAUUAAAUAUGAGAUGAAAUAAAAUAUUCAUUAGAAGCAAAAUAAGGUUUAUACAACUCCAAGAAUAGAAAUCAAAAUAUAAAACCCUUGGCCCUUUGCUAGGGCUACAUCCGGCCCUAGUGAGGAAUUUAAGCUUCCAUGCAGUGGAGGAUGGCAGCAGCAGCACAGCAGCGGGCUCCCGUC
rnacentral:lncRNA from 1 species